CAAGGCGUAUUUAAUAAGGUGGCCGCAUCGGCGAAUUGUUACAACAAAGCAUCUUUUUUGGAAACUUGAUAUGUCAAAAUUUGUAAACAGAGCGAAGAAAAUUAAAAUCACCCUGACAUUUUUAAUUUGCGGAAAAUUUGCCUCGUCCAAUCAGAGUAAGAAAGAAUUUUAUUAUUUUUUGAGUGUCAAGCAAGAAAACAAGGAAACUUGAUAUGUCAAAAUUUGUAAACAGAGCGAAGAAAAUUAAAAUCACCCUGACAUUUUUAAUUUGCGGAAAAUUUGCCUCGUCCAAUCAGAACCCUAAAGGUCGCAAUUCUGAGAAGUGGUGACUGCGGAACGAAGUUCGCAAUUUAAAGGCCAAUUUAUUAAUGAUACCACAGGAAAAUUAUUACCUAUCAAAUAGGCUGCCCUUUACAAAAAUAAUGGAUUUAAAGAAUUUUGAUGAAGAGUUAAAAUUGAAGUCUAAAAUGGUGUCAGAAUUCAAACGUCUUAUCUUUAGGCUUGGAGGAGGGUAGUAAUCUCCUCCAAGCCUUAAGAUCUUUAUUCGAGUUAUAAUCAAAAAACUAUUAUGUGAUGAUUUGGCAAUGGAGAUCUAAUACAGAAACAAAGAACAAACCUAGCAUCCAAAACUGUUUCUUCGCUACCUUUUCCGGCGGGUGAGAAGGUUCUUGGAGUCCCUCUUUCAAUUGAAAUUGCUCCUUGAUGGUCUAUGGGAAGUGUACCCGACCCCUACAUGCAUUCCAAGAAAAUUUUUCGUUAGAGCUCUAUAUUGUCGUGAUUGGUCUAUAUACCUAUUUGGCUUGGUUUCGGGCCCCAAGGCACCCGACCCCAACAAUAGAAACCAUGUUGUGUUGUAGGUGACUCUAGAGUGCAAAAAAAUAUCGAAAGAAUCGCAUUACCAACCUCCGAAAACUGAUAUUUUUUAAAAUUAGGAUAAUGAGAAGUGUUUUUUAGGGGAACCAUGGCACAUCAGACAUUUCGACUCAAAAAUCAAACACUUGGCCCCAAAAAUUGGAUAUUGCUAUAAGGGGUCAAUUAACCUAUUUGACGUAUUAUUAGGAGAAAAGGCGCCACCAAGACUUGAAUGUAAAAUUUAAUGUCAUAUUCGUACUCUACUCCUAAGUACCUUCCAUUUGAGUCCCAUAUAGCCAUGGUCGGCUAAUAUGCCCAUUUGGGGAUUUUUUGGGGGUAGCGCGACCCCCCUUAAUUGUACCUAAUUUUUAUGCCAUAUUUGUAAUCUCUUGCCGAAUACUUUUCAUUUGAGUCCCGUAUUGACAUGAACAUCGAAUAUAUCUGCUUAGAGGAGUUUUGGGUUGAAGGCGACUUUCUGGGACCCAAAUUUUUAUACGAUAUUCGUUUUCUAGUCUUCAAUAUAUUUCAUUUGAUACCCAUAUUGUGCCUAUCGGGCCACUUCGGAUUUGGGGCUGUAUUUUUGGGGUAAGGAUGAUAUCAAAAAUUAUAUAGCCUAUGUUUUUCUGGGUACUUGGACCCAAUUUUUAAAAUCAUAUUCGUGUUCUACUCUUCAAUACCUUGAUACCCAUAUUGUUCCCAUCGGGACACUUUUUGAAUUUGGAUGGUGUUUUUGGGGCCAGACGAUGGUGUUUUUUUCCAGACCAACCCACACAAUCUUUGAAAAUUUCAAGGUAAACGGUUCAGUCGUUUUGAGUCUAUACGGAAUUAACAAACAAACCGGCAAACAAACAAACAAAAAAAACGUAUAGCAGCGGUUGUGCUCACAAGAGCGAUUCGAAAAAAAAAAUUGGAUAGACAUCACACUACGAAUGACUGACUCUAUAGUGGAAAGUGUUACAAUAUAAUCAACUAGCUGAACUGGGCCGCUGCACCUAUUUAGGGUGGGGACACUUCGAACAUUUUUGUGCCGAAAUUGGCAAGAAAUAAAUUAUGGAUGACUAAAUGAUAUUAAAAUUUCGUUCAUUGUGGUAUCAAAA